rnacentral:tRNA from 1 species
CCUUCGAUAGCUCAGUUGGUAGAGUGGUGGACUGUAGAUCCAUAGGGCGCUGGUUCAAAUCCGGCUCGAAGGA